AAUAUAUUAAAUAUAUAGAGGGGCGGAUGURGCCAAGUGGAUCAAGGCAGUGGAUUGUGAAUCCACCAKGCGCGA
rnacentral:tRNA from 1 species